UACAGAGGUCUCAAGCGUUGUUCGGAUUCAUUGGGCGUAAAGGGUCUGUAGGUGGCCAACUAAGUCAGACGUGAAAUCCCUCAGCUUAACUGGGGAACUGCGUCUGAUACUGGUUGGCUUGAGUGCAGGAGAGGAAUGCGGAAUUCCAGGUGUAGCGGUGAAAUGCGUAGAUAUCUGGAGGAACACCGGUGGCGAAGGCGGCAUUCUGGACUGCAACUGACACUGAAAGACGAAAGCCAGGGGAGCAAACGGG
rnacentral:rRNA from 1 species